rnacentral:rRNA from 1 species
AGCGUAGACGGCAAGGCAAGUCUGAUGUGAAAACCCAGGGCUUAACCCUGGGACUGCAUUGGAAACUGUCUGGCUCGAGUGCCGGAGAGGUAAGCGGAAUUCCUAGUGUAGCGGUGAAAUUCGUAGAUAUUCGGAGGAACACCAGUGGCGAAGGCGGCUUACUGGUCCAUUACUGACGCUGAGGUGCGAAAGCGUGGGGAGCAAACA